CCUACGGGAGGCAGCAGUGAGGAAUAUUGGUCAAUGGACGAGAGUCUGAACCAGCCAAGUAGCGUGAAGGAUGACUGCCCUAUGGGUUGUAAACUUCUUUUAUAAGGGAAUAAAAUGAGGCACGUGUGCGUUUUUGUAUGUACUAUAUGAAUAAGGAUCGGCUAACUCCGUGCCAGCAGCCGCGGUAAUACGGAGGAUCCGAGCGUUAUCCGGAUUUAUUGGGUUUAAAGGGAGCGUAGGUGGGUUGUUAAGUCAGUUGUGAAAGUUUGCGGCUCAACCGUAAAAUUGCAGUUGAUACUGGCAGCCUUGAGUACAGUAGAGGUAGGCGGAAUGCGUGGUGUAGCGGUGAAAUGCUUAGAUAUCACGAAGAACUCCGAUUGCGAAGGCAGCCCACUAAACUGCCACUGACAUUGAUGCUCGAAAGUGUGGGUAUCAAACAGGAUUAGAUACCCCAGUAGUC
rnacentral:rRNA from 1 species